UAGUUAGGGCUACAUAGUGAAAUCCUGCCU
rnacentral:piRNA from 2 species